UGGAGAUGACAACGUUGAUAGGCUAUAGGUGCAAGUGCAGUAAUGCAGGUAGCCGAGUAGUACUAAUUACCCGUAAGCUUAUGUAC
rnacentral:rRNA from 1 species